rnacentral:lncRNA from 1 species
AGAGUACAUCUAGAUACAUUCAGGCACAUGAACAGGUUAGCGGUGAUUGCUAUGGGAACUGUUCCAACUCCAGGAUGCAGAGCGCUCUUCAGACAGCCAGGGUGCCUUGAUUAGCUGGCUUCAUCUUCAUCUCCAUCCAGAAGGCAUAGUUUAAUUUCUAUGCAUUGAGAGGACUAAGAUGUAUAGUGUUCAUCAGACAAGACCCUCCUGUGUCCCCACGAUUUCUGCUUGAUGUGUAUUUUUUAGAAAGAUUUAUUUAUUUUACAAAUAUGAGUACCCUGUCUUCAGACCCACCAGAAGAGGGCAUCAGAUCCCAUUACAGAUGGCUGUGAGCCACCACGUGGUUGCUGGGAAUUGAACUCAGGACCUCUGGAAGAGCAGUCAGUGCUCUUAACCAACUGAGCCAUCUCUCCAGGCCUUGAUAUGUAUUUUUUUUCUUUUCAUUUCCUAUUGAGUUGUUGGCUCCACGGCCAUUAUUCCCUUUUGCAUGCUCUCCGUAAGUGCCCGUAAAUCUCUUUUGUCUAUAGCGUGGUUUCGGCAGGUGACCACUGAUGCAGGAAAUUUUUGCUUUGGAGUGGCUGAGCAUUCAUGGUGCCAAGUCCAUGGGCAUAAUUCAGUCUUGAUUCCACGGGAAACUGAGGACAAAGAACCAAAUGGUCUAUCAGUCCUCCCGUCACCAGGCUGCCAGCUCCUAGGUCAUUUAAGUAAAUAAAUCAGACCUCUCUCUGUUGGGUUCUGACCUGGGGACUCACGGAAGAUCAUCGCCACCUCCUGGAAACUGUGAGCACAGAGAGCUGGAGGAGGGGCUGGGUGAUCAGCGCUUAAGAGCUCUUGCUUAUUUUGCUCUUGGAGUGGACAUGAGUCUCAUUCCUGGUACUCCCAUAGAAGCUCAUAACUGCCUGCAGCUCUUUCUCCCGGCGGUCUGAUGCCCUCUUGUGGCCGUUCAUGCCUCCUGAAUUUAUAGGGACAGGCAACCAUACAUAACACAUAAUUCAAAAUAAAUCCUCUUUUUCUUCUUGUUUUGUUCAGAUAGGAUUUCACUGUGUAACUUAAGCCAGCCUGGUCUACAGAGUGAGUUCCAGGACAGCCAGAGCUACACAGAGAAACCCUGUCUCGAAAAACCAAAAAGUAAAAUAAAACAAAACAAAAUAAAAUAAAAUAGGAUGCUGAAAUGUGGCUCUUCACAGCUGAUGGCUCUGUUGGGGGUUGAGGAGAAGAAGGACCUGGUGCCACUACGAGUUUGACCAUGAGCAUAUAGUAUAUACACAACACAGAUUGAACUUGGGUGUUUGCUGUUGUUUUUGUUUGUUUGCUUUCUUUUUAGGGAGAGGGGAGGCCACAAGGAUCGGGAGGCAAACCUGGGAGGACUGGGAAGUGGGUAUCCUGGGGUGGGGGAGGGUAUGUGAGUCAAUAAAUAAUCAAUAAAUAAUAUAUUUAAUAUAUUAUGCAUAUUAUUAUGUUAUGUAUACAUAAUAAAUAUAAUUAUGUUGUCGG